AAAGUGCUUUGAACAGCGUUUGGCACAUGGAGAAUUGAAUGAGCAAACGGAAGAGCGGCAACCCUGAGUUAUAUUUCUCAAGACACCGGGGCUCUUGAUGGCACAGCAGCAGCUUGCUAGAGCUUGGUAAAGAGACUUGGGCCUGGUACCUGAAGGGCAAUUCCUUGGCCAUGACAUUGUAGGGAAAGACCUCUAUGGGUGUUGAAAAGACAAGGCGAGGACAAGAAGAGUUGAAAAGGAGCUGUUCUGAAGCCACCUGGCUGUGGAUGGAGGAAGCCACAUGUAGCUUAGGUAGCCUGCUAUUGUAAUUUUUUCUGCAACUGAAGAAUUCAAAAUGGGUUUGGUGGGUAGCGAAGGGCAGAAUCUGGCUUCAAGGUGACAGAGUUUGCAUAGAGAUGGCCUUCUUGAGCAAAGGUAGUGACUCCUACAUUUUUUUUUUGUAGAGUUAUGAUACCCAUGAGUUAGUCAGCUUGGGCUAUCAUAACAAAAUACCACACAUUGGUUGGCUUAAACAACAGAAAUUCAUUUUCCUGUAAUUCUGGAGCCUGGAAGUCCAAGAUCAAGGUGACGACAGAG
rnacentral:lncRNA from 1 species